rnacentral:lncRNA from 1 species
GAGACCCCCGGAAAGGGGACAGAGACCCCCGAGAGGGGACAGAGACCCCCGGGGGGGAGACGGAGACCCCCGAGAGGGGUUUGGGACCCUCCGAGAGGGGACAGAGAUCCCCGGAAAGGGGACAGAGACCCCCGGAGACCUCCGGGAGGGGACAGAGACCCCCGGGAGGGUCUGAGACCACCGGGAGGGGAACAGAGACACCCGGAAAGGAGACAAAAACCCCCGGGGGGGGAGACAGAGACCCCCCGAGAGGGGAUUGGGACUCCCCCGAGACCCCCGGAGGGGACAGCGCUGGGCCAGGCGGGGUAGGGGUGUGUGCGGGCGGGGAGAUCUUCCCUCAAUGCGAGAAUUUCGGGGGAAUUUGAGGAAUUUUGGCCCCCCGAUCCCCCCCGAGCCCCCCGGGGGUGUCACACGGUGGUGACCGAGAGCAGGGGGUGCUCCAGGCGCCCCCCGUGCUGCGCCAGCAUCAUCUCCUGGAUCGUCACCCAAUUAUCCAGGAUGCGCCGGCUCCUCUUGCGCAGCCCCCGCCGCGACCCCUGCCCGUGCUGGGGGGGCUGGGGGGGCUCCGCGCCCGCCGCCGCCGCGCUCGGAGCGCCUCCGGCCGCCGCCGCCGCCUCGGGCCGGGCCUGCAGCAGCUCCCGGCGCCGCCGCUGCUCCCUCGCCCGGGCCAGGUGCUGCUUGCGCUGCUCGCGGCUCCAGUAGCGGCCCGUCUUCAGCUCGCUGCGGGCGUCGUCGUCGGUGGAGCCGCCGCGCUCCUCCAGGAUUUUGAUGGCCCGAGCCUUGAGCAGCCGGUCCCGGCCCGGCCGCUUCCCGCGGGGCGCUUUGGCGGCGCCCGGAGGCGCGGAGGGCGGCGGGGCGGAGGCGGCGAGGCCGGCCCGCAGCAGCAGCGGGGAGCUGCGGGAGCUCUCGCCGGUGUUGUAGGCGCUGCUGCUGUCGCGCUCCGGAGCUUCGGCGAUAUCGGCCAAAGGCCCCUCGACCCCCGGGCGGGGGUCGCGCCAGGCGCGGCGGCCGCGCUCGCGGAGCCGCUCCAGCUGCUGGGCGCGCAGCAGGUGCCGGCAUUUGAAUUCCAGGUGCCGCAGCUCCUCCUCCAGCCGCGCCAGCUCCGCGCGGCCCGCGGCGCCCGCUCCGCGCCCGCGCAGCGCUCGGUAGCGCCGCAGCUCCGCGGGGCUCAGCGCGGGCAGCGGCGGGGACGGCGAGCCCGGCC